AUUGAACGCUAGCUACAGGCUUAACACAUGCAAGUCGAGGGACCGGCGCACGGGUGAGUAACACGUAUCCAACCUGCCCUUUACUCGGGGAUAGCAUUUCGUAAGAAAGAUUAAUACCCGAUAUAAAGGAUGGGGAUGCGUUCAGUUAGGUUGUUGGUGAGGUAACGGCCCACCAAGCCCUCGAUGGAUAGGGGUUAUGAGAGGAAGGUCCCCCACAUUGGAACUGAGACACGGUCCAAACUCCUACGGGAGGCAGGAGGGAGGAAUAUUGGGCAAUGGGCGCUAGCCUGAACCAGCCAAGUAGCGUGAAGGAUGAAGGGUUAUGGGUCGUAAACUUCUUUUAUAUAAGAAUAUGUAUUAUAUGAAUAAGGAUCGGCUAACUCCGUGCCAGCAGCCGCGGUAAUAC
rnacentral:rRNA from 1 species